rnacentral:tRNA from 1 species
UAGCUCAGUGGUAGAGCGCUUGCCUAGCAGGUGCAAGGCCCUGGGUUCGAUCCCCAG